rnacentral:rRNA from 1 species
CAUGCAGUCGACGAUGAAGCCCAGCUUGCUGGGUGGAUUAGUGGCGAACGGGUGAGUAACACGUGAGUAACCUGCCCUCGACUCCAGGAUAAGCCCGGGAAACUGGGUCUAAUACUGGAUAUUCAAUUUCUACCGCAUGGUGGUUUUUGGAAAGGAUUCUGGUCGAGGAGGGACUCGCGGCCUAUCAGCUUGUUGGUGAGGUAAUGGCUCACCAAGGCGACGACGGGUAGCCGGCCUGAGAGGGUGACCGGCCACACUGGGACUGAGACACGGCCCAGACUCCUACGGGAGGCAGCAGUGGGGAAUAUUGCACAAUGGGCGAAAGCCUGAUGCAGCGACGCCGCGUGAGGGAUGACGGCCUUCGGGUUGUAAACCUCUUUCAGUAGGGAAGAAGCGAAAGUGACGGUACCUGCAGAAGAAGCGCCGGCUAACUACGUGCCAGCAGCCGCGGUAAUACGUAGGGCGCAAGCGUUAUCCGGAAUUAUUGGGCGUAAAGAGCUCGUAGGCGGUUUGUCGCGUCUGCCGUGAAAGUCCGGGGCUUAACUCCGGAUCUGCGGUGGGUACGGGCAGACUAGAGUGCUGUAGGGGAGACUGGAAUUCCUGGUGUAGCGGUGAAAUGCGCAGAUAUCAGGAGGAACACCGAUGGCGAAGGCAGGUCUCUGGGCAGUAACUGACGCUGAGGAGCGAAAGCAUGGGGAGCGAACAGGAUUAGAUACCCUGGUAGUCCAUGCCGUAAACGUUGGGCACUAGAUGUGGGGGACAUUCCACGUUUUCCGCGUCGUAGCUAACGCAUUAAGUGCCCCGCCUGGGGAGUACGGCCGCAAGGCUAAAACUCAAAGGAAUUGACGGGGGCCCGCACAAGCGGCGGAGCAUGCGGAUUAAUUCGAUGCAACGCGAAGAACCUUACCAAGGCUUGACAUGGACCGGAUCGGGCUAGAAAUAGUCUUUCCCUUCGGGGCUGGUUCACAGGUGGUGCAUGG